CUAAAACUCAGUGAACUGAUGGCCCUUGGCAGAAACUGUUUACUGAAAAACAAUUUGAGAAUGCAGCAGAAAGAAUAGGAGAGAAGCCUGACGGAAAAAUGGGAAAGAACACCACCAAAUCUUCAGGCAGACUCCAGGCCAUUCUCAGAACCAGGAUGCUCCCUGUACCUCCAGAACUGGAUGAAAAAAGACGAACGGAGAGGUCCCUGCUUUCAUGGGGGCAUGUUUGUAGGAGAAACAACCAGCCUUGAGUGGACGCAGAAGGUCUGGACUACCAACAAGCAAGCCAGCAGCCUGUUUUAUAGAACUUCUUCAUGUGAAUAAAAGUCACCAACAAGUCACCAAUAGAAGGUCUCCAGAGAGACCUGCCCAGAAGCAGGAAAAUGGAAAGUGUCACAUAUGGUGGCUAUACAAGGAAUCUGGGUUUCAAAACUCAAUUUGCCAUCUAUAGAUAUCAGAAAACCAGGGAGUGGGACUUGAACUACUUUCGCUCUUCUAUUCAACCAACUUUUGCUAAGGAUCUCCUGCAUACAAGAUGCUCAGUUCUUGAAUGAGGGUAAUGACAAUGGAGAGAGGAGAGACAAAUGGAAGAAAUAGCAAACAAGUUCUAUAGAAAUCCGAAUGAGGCGGGCACAGUGGCUCACGUCUGUAAUCCCAGCACUCUGGGAGGCCAAGGUGGGCAGAUCACCUGAGAUCAGGAGUUCAAGACUAGCCUGGCCAACAUGGCGAAACGCUGUCUGUACUAAAAAUACAAAAAUUAGCUAGGCAUGGUGGCACACGCCUGUAAUCCCAGCUACUCAGAAGGCUGAGGCAGGAGAAUUGCUGGAACACAGGAGGCAGAUGUUGCAGUGAACCAAGAUUGUGCCACUGCACUCCAG
rnacentral:lncRNA from 10 species